UACGAAGGGGGCUAGCGUUGCUCGGAAUCACUGGGCGUAAAGCGCACGUAGGCGGAUUGUUAAGUCAGGGGUGAAAUCCUGGAGCUCAACUCCAGAACUGCCUUUGAUACUGAAGAUCUUGAGUUCGGGAGAGGUGAGUGGAACUGCGAGUGUAGAGGUGAAAUUCGUAGAUAUUCGCAAGAACACCAGUGGCGAAGGCGGCUCACUGGCCCGAUACUGACGCUGAUGCACGAAAGCGUGGGGAGCAAACAGG
rnacentral:rRNA from 1 species